rnacentral:rRNA from 1 species
AUUGAACGCUGGCGGCAUGCUUUACACAUGCAAGUCGAACGGUAACAGGCCUUCGGGUGCUGACGAGUGGCGAACGGGUGCGUAAUACAUCGGAACGUACCCAGAGGUGGGGGAUAACGCAGCGAAAGCUGUGCUAAUACCGCAUGUGAUCUGAGGAUGAAAGCGGGGGACCGAGCAGCAAUGUUUGGCCUCGCGCCUUUGGAGCGGCCGAUGUCGGAUUAGCUAGUUGGUGGGGUAAAGGCCUACCAAGGCGACGAUCCGUAGCUGGUCUGAGAGGACGACCAGCCACACUGGAACUGAGACACGGCCCAGACUCCUACGGGAGGCAGCAGUGGGGAAUUUUGGACAAUGGGCGCAAACCUGAUCCAGCAAUGCCGCGUGCGGGAAGAAGGCCUUCGGGUUGUAAACCGCUUUUGGCAGGAACGAAACGGUGUCCGCUAAUACCGGGCGCUAAUGACGGUACCUGCAGAAUAAGCACCGGCUAACUACGUG